UACAGAGGGUGCGAGCGUUAAUCGGAAUUACUGGGCGUAAAGCGUGCGUAGACGGCUAUCUAAGUCGGGUGUGAAAGCCCCGGGCUCAACCUGGGAAUUGCAUUCGAGACUGCAUAGCUAGGAUGCGGAAGAGGGAAGCGGAAUUUCCGGUGUAGCGGUGAAAUGCGUAGAUAUCGGAAGGAACACCAGUGGCGAAAGCGGCUUCCUGGUCCAGCAUCGACGUUCAGGCACGAAAGCGUGGGGAGCAAACAGG
rnacentral:rRNA from 1 species